UCUGAUAUUAGCAAUGACACAU
rnacentral:miRNA from 1 species